AAGUGCGGGUAUCGAACAGAAUAGAUACUGUUAGUUCGCACCAGUAACGAUGAUGCUCGUCAAUGCGACAGACAGUCAGUGACAAGGGAACCAUUAAGCAUUCCACUGGGGAGUACGCCGGCAACGGUGAAACUCAAAGGAAAUUGACGGGGGCCCGCACAAGCGGAGGGAACAUGUGGUUUAAUUUCGAUGAUACGCGAGGAACCUUUACCCGGGCUUGAAUUGCAGAUGAAGGAUACAGAGAUGUUGACGCCCUUCGGGGCAUCUGUGAAGGUGCUGCAUGGUUGUCGUCAGCUCGUGCCGUGAGGUGUCGGCUUAAGUGCCAUAACGAGCGCAACCCUUGCUGUCAGUUGCCAUCAGGUAAUGCUGGGCACUCUGACGGGACUGCCAUCGCAAGAUGUGAGGAAGGUGGGGAUGACGUCAAAUCAGCACGGCCCUUACGUCCGGGGCUACACACGUGUUACAAUGGGGGGUACAGAAUGCAGCUUGCAGGCGACUGCCGGCCAAUCAUGAAAUCCCCUCUCAGUUCGGACUGGAGUCUGCAACCCGACUCCACGAAGCUGGAUUCGCUAGUAAUCGCGCAUCAGCCAUGGCGCGGUGAAUACGUUCCCGGGCCUUGUACACACCGCCCGUCAAGCCAUGAAAGCCGGGGGCGCCUGAAGUCCGUUACCGCAAGGAUCGGCCUAGGGCGAAACUGGUAAUUGGGG
rnacentral:rRNA from 1 species